rnacentral:rRNA from 1 species
GAUGAACGCUGGCGGCGUGCCUAAUACAUGCCAGUCGAACGAAACUUCUUUAUCACCGAGUGCUUGCACUCACCGAUAAAGAGUUGAGUGGCGAACGGGUGAGUAACACGUGGGCAACCUGCCCAAAAGAGGGGGAUAACACUUGGAAACAGGUGCUAAUACCGCAUAACCAUAGUUACCGCAUGGUAACUAUGUAAAAGGUGGCUAUACUACCGCUUUUGGAUGGGCCCGCGGCGCAUUAGCUAGUUGGUAGGGUAAAGGCUUACCAAGGCAAUGAUGCGUAGCCGAAUUGAGAGGUUGAUCGGCCACAUUGGGACUGAGACACGGCCCAAACUCCUACGGGAGGCAGCAGUAGGGAAUCUUCCACAAUGGGCGAAAGCCUGAUGGAGCAACGCCGCGUGGGUGAAGAAGGUCUUCGGAUCGUAAAACCCUGUUGUUAGAGAAGAAAGUGCGUGAGAGUAACUGUUCACGUUUCGACGGUAUCUAACCAGAAAGCCACGGCUAACUACGU